rnacentral:sRNA from 1 species
AAGAGACAUGUUAAUGCAGCCUGCUAAUGUCUUAUAUUGACUACCCAUGUGUUCUUAAUUCCUAACCAAGAUGGUUCAGUGUAGGGUACACAUCUCAAACAUAUUGAAUAAUGAAGAGGAACAGCAACUUUGACCAAGAGGAGACACUUAUUUGUAAUGAUAUGUCACCCUACAAGUCUUCCAUUCAAGUCUGGAGGCACAAAAGAGAAGACUCUCCAUUGUUUCAGAGAGUAAUUGUCUCGUUGAAGAUAAGGAGCUUGGAUCAGGAAGGAUAGCUACUACUGGCGUUCUGCUGGAAAGGAGAUACGACCACGAAAGCAUGUGAUGGACAUCUAGGUUGUUUUCAGUUUCUGUCUCUUAUGAAUAAAGCUCCUAUGAACAGAGAUUUAAAAAAAGUAAUGGCAACAAGUCUAUAGCACAGAAACCUUGCUUCCCAAGGCAGCAGUGAGACAGAGAGACUGGAUCUGGAUCGUUCUUUUGAAAACUCCAAUCCUCCAAAUCCCCUCUAGAUGCGUCUGAAUUCAACCCAGCUCUGUUUAAAAUGUGCAACUGAAUAUCUUCCUGUGUAUGACACUCAUGAAGCCAGCACUACAAUCAAGAUAAUAAAAUCCAUCACCUGUAAAGUUUCCUGGUGCUCACUCACAUGUGCCUGAUCUCCUCCUGCUCAUGGACGACCAACUGCUGAUUGCUCUCCGUUACAACUUCUUAGCAUUUUGAAUGCUUGGGUGUUUGACAGACAUGGUACUCAUCUCAUCAUGGCUUUUAAUUGUAUUUAUUUAGAGAAAAUUAAUGUUGAGCUUUACUUACCAAAU